rnacentral:rRNA from 1 species
GAUGAACGCUGGCGGCGUGCCUAAUACAUGCAAGUCGAGCGAACGGACGAGAAGCUUGCUUCUCUGAUGUUAGCGGCGGACGGGUGAGUAACACGUGGAUAACCUACCUAUAAGACUGGGAUAACUUCGGGAAACCGGAGCUAAUACCGGAUGAUAUUUUGAACCGCAUGGUUCAAAAGUGAAAGACGGUCUUGCUGUCACUUAUAGAUGGAUCCGCGCUGCAUUAGCUAGUUGGUAAGGUAACGGCUUACCAAGGCAACGAUGCAUAACCGACCUGAGAGGGUGAUCGGCCACACUGGAACUGAGACACGGUCCAGACUCCUACGGGAGGCAGCAGUAGGGAAUCUUCCGCAAUGGGCGAAAGCCUGACGGAGCAACGCCGCGUGGGUGAUGAAGGUCUUCGGAUCGUAAAACUCUGUUAUUAGGGAAGAACAUAUGUGUAAGUAACUGUGCACAUCUUGACGGUACCUAAUCAGAAAGCCACGGCUAACUACGUG